rnacentral:rRNA from 1 species
ACGGGAGGCAGCAGUGAGGAAUAUUGGUCAAUGGGCGAGAGCCUGAACCAGCCAAGUCGCGUGAAGGAUGAAGGUUCUAUGGAUUGUAAACUUCUUUUAUUCGAGGGUAAAGUGAGCCACGUGUGGUUUAUUGCAAGUAUCGAAUGAAUAAGCAUCGGCUAACUCCGUGCCAGCAGCCGCGGUAAUACGGAGGAUGCGAGCGUUAUCCGGAUUUAUUGGGUUUAAAGGGUGCGUAGGCGGGUUAUUAAGUCUGUGGUAAAAGCGUGUGGCUCAACCAUACCAAGCCAUGGAAACUGGUGAUCUUGAGUGUAAACGAGGUAGGCGGAAUGUGAUGUGUAGCGGUGAAAUGCUUAGAUAUGUCACAGAACCCCGAUUGCGAAGGCAGCUUACCAGCAUACGACUGACGCUGAGGCACGAAAGCGUGGGUAUCAAACAGGAUUAGAUACCCUGGUA